AGAGUUUGAUCCUGGCUCAGGAUGAACGCUGGCGGCAUGCCUAAUACAUGCAAGUCGAACGAGAGGAAGGAAAGCUUGCUUUCCUGAAUCUAGUGGCGAACGGGUGAGUAACACGUAGGUAACCUGCCCAUGUGCCCGGGAUAACUUCUGGAAACGGAUGCUAAAACCGGAUAGGUAGCAGACAAGCAUUUGACUGCUAUUAAAGUGGCCUUGGCCAUGAACAUGGAUGGACCUGCGGUGCAUUAGCUGGUUGGUGAGGUAACGGCCCACCAAGGCGACGAUGCAUAGCCGGCCUGAGAGGGCGGACGGCCACAUUGGGACUGAGACACGGCCCAAACUCCUACGGGAGGCAGCAGUAGGGAAUUUUCGUCAAUGGGGGGAACCCUGAACGAGCAAUGCCGCGUGAGUGAGGAAGGUCUUCGGAUCGUAAAGCUCUGUUGUAAGAGAAAAACGGCACUCAUAGGGAAUGAUGAGUGAGUGAUGGUAUCUUACCAGAAAGUCACGGCUAACUACGUGCCAGCAGCCGCGGUAAUACGUAGGUGGCGAGCGUUAUCCGGAAUUAUUGGGCGUAAAGAGGGAGCAGGCGGCACUAAGGGUCUGUGGUGAAAGAUCGAAGCUUAACUUCGGUAAGCCAUGGAAACCGUAGAGCUAGAGUGUGUGAGAGGAUCGUGGAAUUCCAUGUGUAGCGGUGAAAUGCGUAGAUAUAUGGAGGAACACCAGUGGCGAAGGCGACGAUCUGGCGCAUAACUGACGCUCAGUCCCGAAAGCGUGGGGAGCAAAUAGGAUUAGAUACCCUAGUAGUCCACGCCGUAAACGAUGAGUACUAAGUGUUGGGUGUCAAAGCUCAGUGCUGCAGUUAACGCAAUAAGUACUCCGCCUGAGUAGUACGUUCGCAAGAAUGAAACUCAAAGGAAUUGACGGGGGCCCGCACAAGCGGUGGAGCAUGUGGUUUAA
rnacentral:rRNA from 1 species